GACGAACGCUGGCGGCGUGCUUAACACAUGCAAGUCGAACGGAAAGGCCCUGCUUUUGUGGGGUGCUCGAGUGGCGAACGGGUGAGUAACACGUGAGUAACCUGCCCUUGACUUUGGGAUAACUUCAGGAAACUGGGGCUAAUACCGGAUAGGAGCUCCUGCUGCAUGGUGGGGGUUGGAAAGUUUCGGCGGUUGGGGAUGGACUCGCGGCUUAUCAGCUUGUUGGUGGGGUAGUGGCUUACCAAGGCUUUGACGGGUAGCCGGCCUGAGAGGGUGACCGGCCACAUGGGGACUGAGAGACGGCGCAGACUCCUACGGUAGGCAGCAGUGGGGAAUAUUGCACAAUGGGCGGAAGCCUGAUGCAGAAGCGCCGCGUGCGGGAUGACGGCCUUCGGGUGGUAAACCGCUUUCGCCUGUGACGAAGCGUGAGUGACGGUAAUGGGUAAAGAAGCACCGGCUAACUACGUG
rnacentral:rRNA from 1 species